rnacentral:rRNA from 1 species
AUUGAACGCUGGCGGCAGGCCUAACACAUGCAAGUCGAACGAGUGGCGGACGGGUGAGUAAUGUCUGGGAAACUGCCUGAUGGAGGGGGAUAACUACUGGAAACGGUAGCUAAUACCGCAUACCAUCAGAUGUGCCCAGAUGGGAUUGGCUAGUUGGUGGGGUAAAGGCUCACCAAGGCGACGAACCCUAGCUGGUCUGAGAGGAUGAACAGCCACACUGGAACUGAGCCAGGGUCCAGACUCCGACGGCAGGCCGCAGGGGGGAAUAUUGCACAAUGGGCGCAAGCCUGAUGCAGCGAUGCCGCGUGUAUGAAGAGGGCCUUCGGGUUGUAAAGUACUUUCAGCGGGGAGGCGUUACCCGCAGAAGAAGCACCGGCUAACUCCGUGCCAGCAGCCGCGGUAAUUC